CUUUUGUAUUUAUAAAUAGCUAAAAUUUUGAUAUAGCUAUUAUGUAAAACAAAAUAGAUAGCAAAAAAAGACAAAAUUCAACAGCUUCUCCAAAAUCUAAAAAGAAAUGGCUAGCGCUCAGCGCUAGGUAAAGAUGCCCAACGGCACCUUUGGAUAGAAAAAGAUAAUAGAAGACGAGGUAGAUAGAAUUUCUGUUGGAUAGAGAUUUUUUGUUUUUCUUUUCUUUUUAGAAAACUCACCUAAGAUACCAGAGUUUUUCUUGAAGAUCCUCUUAGAUUGCCGAUGAUGAAUGAUUGAAUGCCAGUACCAAAUCAGAGGGUACCCGGCAACGGCAUAACCAAACAUAGAAAUCGUUCAUCCAGGAGAAAUGUAACGAGGCUGUGAUUGGCUUCUACCCUCAUAUGAAAUCCUCUCUCUCUCUCUCUCUCUCUCUCUCUCCCCCCCAUAAUUAUGAGCAAGCAGUCAUAUUAGAUUGCAGGAGCAACAUUGCAAUCCACGGGCAGCUGUAGGUAAAACAGUAGUGCCAUUGAUGCAUGGUAUGGGGCUAGGCUUUAUGCAUGUUGGGCAAGGUGGAAACUUGGACAUACUUAUGGGCCAACAUUAAUUUGGUUGUUCAUGCCCAUCCGUGUUAAAAAAAAUAAUCGGCUGAUUACAUUAGGUCGCUGCACGGUGAAGUACUGGAUUGAUUCGUAUGGGUCAAUUAAUUUGUAAGGUAGUAGAGGUGUUGGUUGGGCUGCUUGCCACCGAUAAAAGUAUCAAUAACACAGGGAAUGCUCGACCUCUUUCUAAGAAAAAAAAAAGCUCAAAUUUAAAAGUCCCAUAUUGCUUUUUAUUUAUUUUUUAACUCCAGAUAUGACUUUUCUUUAGAGGAAAUUGAGAUAUGCUAGGUCAGUUUGAUCGCGAUGCCUCUCCAUAAAUUUCCUUCCCUCGCAGUUUCAUUUCCCAAUCCCGGCGCUAUCAGGUGGUUGCAAUCAGCUGAACAUGGGUCCUAUUUUUGCCUCUCGUGAGAAAAGGAAAAAUAUCACUACCUGUAUGGGAAGCAGUUAGCAAGAUGAUCUGAAAGCUCCUUGUGCACAAGGCAUAGUACUUGACAGGGCCAUUUAACAGGGCACACCUACCAGCCCCUGUCCAGGACUCAAUUCUGUGGGUCAGGUCUCAAGCUCCGUCCACUGGACCAUCCGUUCAUUCCCUUGCCGGAAAGAGGAGCCAAGCAAAGCAAUGGAUCGGAGGCUGCCGAACAAAGAGGGAUAGCAGGAAAGCAGCCAUAGUGGCGAUGUCAUGCAGAUGCAGAGUGGGUGUGGGCAGUUGGACUUAACUCCGCCUUGUUGCAUCCGCCUGCACAGCUUCACACGCCAAGGGAAGCGCUUGGCCUGACCUGAAUUUUGUAAACGCAGCAAGCUGAUGCGUCUCAUUCUCCUUCCUACACUUCAUUCAGGUAAUGGAAUGACUUACAAUGCAGUUCUCUACUUCUCUCGCUAGCGUGAUUUGGUGAUUACAAGUCUAGUUCCCUAAUAGGCGUUCUGAAACUUGGGAUAAUAGUGUCAAGAUCAGACGCGAUUAAUUCGUGGAUGAACUUGGCCGGA